GAGUUUGAUCAUGGCUCAGAUUGAACGCUGGCGGCAUGCCUUACACAUGCAAGUCGAACGGCAGCAUGAUCUAGCUUGCUAGAUUGAUGGCGAGUGGCGAACGGGUGAGUAAUACAUCGGAACGUGCCCUGUAGUGGGGGAUAACUAGUCGAAAGAUUAGCUAAUGCCGCAUACGACCUGAGGGUGAAAGUGGGGGACCGCAAGGCCUCAUGCUAUAGGAGCGGCCGAUGUCUGAUUAGCUAGUUGGUGGGGUAAAGGCCCACCAAGGCGACGAUCAGUAGCUGGUCUGAGAGGACGAUCAGCCACACUGGGACUGAGACACGGCCCAGACUCCUACGGGAGGCAGCAGUGGGGAAUUUUGGACAAUGGGCGAAAGCCUGAUCCAGCAAUGCCGCGUGUGUGAAGAAGGCC
rnacentral:rRNA from 1 species